UGCUCAAUAAACGGUCCCUGUUCUUUGAUCAGCUCAUUUGUAAUUUCCCCUCUUAUUCCAAUGACAGCUCAAGAAAUUUCUACUUAGCUAAAUUUUCCAAAAAUAAACAAGGCCCAAGUAUUUACUCCUGGGUUGUAUAAAAUCUUGGCAUGUAUGUGUGUAUACAGAAACUCUGAUCAAAAUUCACAAGUAUUUUCUAACCUUGCAAGACUCCCCUGCCAUGUGUUUUUAUAGAGAGUCCCACUUAACAGAUGUUGCGAAUUUACAGAGACAGACGAAUGCCAUCCAAUUAUCCAUGUCCAUGUGACGUUAAAGAUUAUUACCAAACUCAAAAAGGUCCACAUCAAUAAAUAAUAUAAGUUUCAACAAUAUGCUAAUUUUCAAUAUCACAGGAUUGACAACAACAAAGAAAACGAGAACUAUAUGGUUCUCUAUGAAGAUACCAUGAGAAAUAAUACUGACAGCAACAAAGAAAAGGCUAACUAUAUAGAAAGCUUCAAGUUGAUCUUUCUUUGGUUCAUAUAAAGAUAAUAAUAUGCUAGCAUUGAGAAUGACACAAACAUUUGUUAAAAGACCAAGAACUGAGGAAAACUUUAGUGACAACAACAAAGAAAAGGUUCGCUAUCAAGAUACCAUGAGAAAUAAUACAGACAACAACAAAGAAAAGGCUAACUAUAUAGAAAGCUUCAAGUUGAUCUUUCUUUGGUUCAUAUAAAGAUAAUAAUAUGCUAGCAUUG
rnacentral:lncRNA from 1 species